GAGUUUGAUUAUGGCUCAGGAUGAACGCUGGCGGUAUGCCUUAUACAUGCAAGUCGUACGAGAGUUUUUAGCUCAAGUGGCGGACGGGUGAGUAACACGUAAGAAUUUGCCUUUAGGAGGGGGACAACAACUGGAAACGGUUGCUAAUACCCCAUAUGCUUUCGAGUGAAAUGGUUUUUCCGCCUAAAGAGAAGCUUGCGGCUGAUUAGCUUGUUGGUAGAGUAAUAGCCUACCAAGGCGACGAUCAGUAUCUGGUUUGAGAGGACGAUCAGACACACUGGAACUGAGACACGGUCCAGACUCCUACGGGAGGCAGCAGUAGGGAAUUUUCCGCAAUGGGCGAAAGCCUGACGGAGCAAUACCGCGUGAGGGAUGACUGCCUAUGGGUUGUAAACCUCUUUUUUCAGGGAGGAAUAAAUGACGUGUACCUGAAGAAUAAGCAUCGGCUAACUCCGUGCCAGCAGCCGCGGUAAGACGGAGGAUGCAAGUGUUAUCCGGAAUCACUGGGCGUAAAGCGUCUGUAGGUGGUCAAAUAAGUCAACUGUUAAAUCUUGGGGCUCAACCUCAAAAUCGCAGUCGAAACUAUUAGGCUAGAGUAUAGUAGAGGUAAAGGGAAUUUCCAGUGGAGCGGUGAAAUGCGUAGAGAUUGGAAAGAACACCGAUGGCGAAGGCACUUUACUGGGCUAUUACUGACACUCAGAGACGAAAGCUAGGGUAGCAAAUGGGAUUAGAUACCCCAGUAGUCCUAGCCGUAAACAAUGGAUACUAGGUGUUGAACAGAUCGAUCUGUGCAGUACUAAAGCUAACGCGUUAAGUAUCCCGCCUGGGAAGUAUGCACGCAAGUGUGAAACUCAAAGGAAUUGACGGGGGCCCGCACAAGCGGUGGAGCAUGUGGUUUAAUUCGAUGCAACGCGAAGAACCUUACCAGGGUUUGACAUGAUACGAAUUUCUUUGAAAAAAGAAAGUGCCUUUUGGAACGUAUACACAGGUGGUGCAUGGCUGUC
rnacentral:rRNA from 1 species